rnacentral:rRNA from 1 species
GCUCGUUGGUGAUUCAUAAUAACUUAACGAAUCGCAUGGCCUUGCGCCGGCGAUGGUUCAUUCAAAUUUCUGCCCUAUCAACUUUCGAUGGUAAGAUAGAGGCUUACCAUGGUCUUAACGGGUAACGGGGAAUUAGGGUUCUAUUCCGGAGAGGGAGCCUGAGAAACGGCUACCACAUCCAAGGAAGGCAGCAGGCGCGCAAAUUACCCAAUGCUAAUUCAGCGAGGUAGUGACAAUAAAUACUGAUACGGGGCUCUUUCGGGUCUCGUAAUUGGAAUGAGUACAAUCUAAAUCCCUUAACGAGGAACAAUUGGAGGGCAAGUCUGGUGCCAGCAGCCGCGGUAAUUCCAGCUCCAAUAGCGUAUAUUAAAGUUGUUGCCGUUAAAAAGCUCGUAGUUGAACCUUGGACCUGGCUGAUCUGUCCUCCUAAUCGAGCGCACGGAUUCGGUCGGGUCUUUCCUUCUGGGGAGCCCUAUGCCCUUCACUGGGUGUAGUGGGGAACCAGGACUUUUACCUUGAAAAAAUUAGAGUGUUCAAAGCAGGCCUUUGCUCGAAUACAUUAGCAUGGAAUAAUAGAAUAGGACAUCGGUUCUAUUUUGUUGGUUUCUAGGACCGCUGUAAUGAUUAAUAGGGAUAGUCGGGGGCGUCAGUAUUCAAUUGUCAGAGGUGAAAUUCUUGGAUUUAUUGAAGACUAACUACUGCGAAAGCAUUCGCCAAGGAUGUUUUCAUUAAUCAGUGAACGAAAGUUAGGGGAUCGAAGACGAUCAGAUACCGUCGUAGUCUUAACCAUAAACUAUGCCGACUAGGGAUCGGACGGUGGUUUUUUUAUGCCCCGUUCGGCACCUUACGAGAAAUCAAAGUUUUUGGGCUCGGGGGGGAGUA